AAACCAACAGGGAUUGCCUCAGUAACGGCGAGUGAAGCGGCAAAAGCUCAAAUUUGAAAUCGCUUCGGCGAGUUGUAAUUUGAAGGCCGGUCCUUGUGCUGCCCCAGCUUAAGUCCCUUGGAACAGGGCGCCUUAGAGGGUGAGAGCCCCGUGAGGCUGGCUACGCAGUACUUUACAGGUCCGCGCCAACGAGUCGAGUUGUUUGGGAAUGCAGCUCUAAGUGGGUGGUAAAUUCCAUCUAAAGCUAAAUAUUGGCGAGAGACCGAUAGCGAACAAGUACAGUGAUGGAAAGAUGAAAAGCACUUUGAAAAGAGAGUGAAACAGUACGUGAAAUUGUUGAAAGGGAAGGGCAUGCAAGCAGACACGGUUUCGGCCGGGCCAGCAUCGGUUUGGUGGGGCGGAUAAGAACGCAGGAAUGUGGCUCUUUACGAGUGUUAUAUCCUGCGGUGAUACGUCCACACUAGACCGAGGCCUGCGGUUAUCCUAGGAUGCUGGCGUAAUGGUUGCAUGCCGC
rnacentral:rRNA from 2 species